rnacentral:lncRNA from 10 species
CCGAGGACAGCCCACAAUCAAGGGGAGGGUAGAUAUGUUCUACCUCUUGACAUGUAGUAUGAACAUAAAGCACAGUUGAUUCCUGAGCUGUGAUGACUUUCCACUGACCAUACUACUGCAAUGAUGUUAUUCUGGGCCAAACUUCGGAAUCAAUUCUUGUCUGCUGCCUGAUUCAAUUAUUUUUAAUGCACCCUGUGGAUUUUUACUUGCUAAAGUAGAAAGAAGAUCCCAACAUUUGAUGAGAAAAUAUACAGAAGGUAAUUUCUACAAAAUGUUAA